UGCCAGCCGCCGCGGUAAUACGGAGGGGGCUAGCGUUGUUCGGAAUUACUGGGCGUAAAGCGAGUGUAGGCGGUCUGUCAAGUCGAUUGUGAAAUCUCCCGGCUCAACCGGGAGGGUGCGGUCGAAACUGACAGACUAGAGUUCGGGAGAGGAGAGUGGAAUUCCUGGUGUAGCGGUGAAAUGCGUAGAUAUCAGGAGGAACAUCGAUGGCGAAAGCAACUUUCUGGCACGAUACUGACGCUGAGGCUCGAAAGCGUGGGGAGCGAACAGGAUUAGAUA
rnacentral:rRNA from 1 species